rnacentral:tRNA from 1 species
GCGUCUGUGGUGUAAUGGUUAGCAUGGUUGCCUUCCAAGCAAUACAUAGGGGUUCGAUUCCCCUCAGAUGCA